rnacentral:rRNA from 1 species
GACGAACGCUGGCGGCGUGCCUAAUACAUGCAAGUUGAGCGCUGAAGGUUGGUACUUGUCCCAACUGGAUGAGCAGCGAACGGGUGAGUAGCGCGUGGGGAAUCUGCCUUUGAGCGGGGGACAACAUUUGGAAGCGAAUGCUAAUACCGCAUAAAAACUUUAAACACAAGUUUUAAGUUUGAAAGAUGCAAUUGCAUCACUCAAAGAUGAUCCCGCGUUGUAUUAGCUAGUUGGUGAGGUAAAGGCUCACCAAGGCGAUGAUACAUAGCCGACCUGAGAGGGUGAUCGGCCACAUUGGGACUGAGACACGGCCCAAACUCCUACGGGAGGCAGCAGUAGGGAAUCUUCGGCAAUGGACGAAAGUCUGACCGAGCAACGCCGCGGGAGUGAAGAAGGGUUUCGGAUCGUAAAACUCUGUUGGUAGAGAAGAACGUUGGUGAGAGUGGAAAGCUCAUCAAGUGACGGUAACUACCCAGAAAGGGACGGCUAACUACGUG